ACUAGCACUAACUAGCAUUAAUGACAACAAUGGCUGACACUUAAAUAAGUGCUAUAGAAUUCUGCGGCAGCAAAAGCUGUGCUGCAAUAAGGCACAACUUUUAAAGAAAGAACCACUGUAUCUAGUGGUAGUUAAUACCUCAACAUACUACAAGAUGAAGCUGCCCUUCCAGCGCUAUCUGCUGCAGAAAGAACCAUUCAAACAGUUCAGUCACUCAGCCCUAUCCAGUGGAAAUGAUGCUCUCAAGGUCCUGCUUUACCGCCUCCUGCAAUACCCUGGUGAGAAGUAAUAAGUCUGGCCCCAUGACUUCCAUACAGGGCGUCAAAGGUUU
rnacentral:lncRNA from 1 species